CACAAUGUAGUCUUUAAAGAGUCUUUGUUUAGGGGGAGAUUUCUCCCAAUAAUUUUUAAGAUUUUUAAUUUUAUUUUUAAUAUGUAGGUCGUUUGGUCAAACCAUAUUUAAUAAUAUAUUUUUAGUUUAAUUUUCAUGUGUCGUCUGAUUUAUUGUCUUAUGGUUUGCAAACUAAAAGCUUCCUCAUGACGCCCUCUCAAUUUCAAACCCAACAAGUGGUAUCAGAGCUUACGGUUCAAUGGUCCAAUGGUGUGGUGAGACGAGAUUAAACAGGUUCAAAGCGGUUUCAAAAUCAAGCUGCAACCAAUUUGAUGAUAAUGAAGAUAUAUGUCCAAAAGCUACAUGUGGAGAUAAUUGUCAAUCAUAUUUUCAAUAAUCCUGUUGUCAUAUAUUUGAAAAUAAAGCUCACUUUUAACCCUGC
rnacentral:lncRNA from 1 species